CCUGAGAAACCCGAAAGAUCGAAUGGGGAGAUUCAUCGUCAGCGAUCCAGGCGCGUGUGCGGUUCGUGAUGCCGCGGGACUUCGGUUCCGUGGUACACGUCCGUGUGGGUUUUUGCCUGGUGUCGUCGGCGUGCACUUCUCCCCUAGUAGGACGUCGCGACCCGUUGGGUGUCGGUCUACGGCCCGGAUGGUCGCCUGUCAUGCGUACGACGCUUCACGGCGUUAUGUGGCUGACAGACCACCGGUCGCCCGACCAGCUGCCCGGCGGUACUCGCACGGUAUCGAGCCGCAGAUUUGAACUGCGUCCGGCCCGCCGCAAGCGAGGCCAGUGCUUCCCGGAUGUACGGACCUAGCGCCGUCGCCGGGCCUGGCCGGCUGUUGGCUGGCGGUGUCCUGGGACUGGCUCAU
rnacentral:rRNA from 1 species